UACGAAGGGGGCUAGCGUUGCUCGGAAUCACUGGGCGUAAAGCGCACGUAGGCGGCUUUUUAAGUCAGGGGUGAAAUCCUGGAGCUCAACUCCAGAACUGCCUUUGAUACUGAGAGCUUGAGUGCCGGAGAGGGUCGCGGAAUUCCCGGUGUAGAGGUGAAAUUCGUAGAUAUCGGGAGGAACACCAGUGGCGAAGGCGGCGACCUGGACGGACACUGACGCUGAGACGCGAAAGCGUGGGGAGCAAA
rnacentral:rRNA from 1 species